rnacentral:rRNA from 1 species
GAUGAACGCUGGCGGCGUGCUUAACACAUGCAAGUCGAACGGAAAGGCCCUGCUUUUGUGGGGUGCUCGAGUGGCGAACGGGUGAGUAACACGUGUGUAACCUGCCCUUGACUUUGGGAUAACUUCAGGAAACAGGGGCUAAUACCGGAUAGGAGCUCCUGCUGCAUGGUGGGGGUUGGUAAGUUUCGGCGGUUGGGGAUGGACUAGCGGCUUAUCAGCUUGUUGGUGGGGUAGUUGAUUACAAAGGUUUUGACGGGUAGCCGGCAUGAGAGGGUGACCAGCCACAAUGGUACUGAGGUACGGACCAGUCUGCUAUGGUAGGCAGUAGUCGGGAAUAUUGCAGAAUGGGCGGAAGCCUGAUGCAGAAACGUCGCGUGCGUGAAGACGGCCUUCGGGGUGUAAACCUCUGUCUCCUGUGACGAAGCGUGAUUGACGGUAAUGGGUAAAGAAGCACCGGCUAACUACGUG